rnacentral:tRNA from 1 species
UCCCUGGUGGUCCAGUGGUUAGGACUCUGUGCUUCUGCUGUACAGGGCACAGGUUCAAUCCCUGGUCAGGGAG